rnacentral:rRNA from 1 species
UCCGUAGGUGAACCUGCGGAAGGAUCAUUAACGAGUUUUGAAAGGGGUUGUAGCUGGCCUUCCGGGGCAUGUGCACACCCUGCUCAUCCACUCUACACCUGUGCACUUACUGUAGGUUGGCGUGGGUUUUUGGUCUUUGCGGAUCAGAGACAUUCUGCCGGCCUAUGUAUUCUACACAAACACCAAGUAAAUGAAUGUAAACGCGUCUAACGCAUCUUAAUACAACUUUCAGCAACGGAUCUCUUGGCUCUCGCAUCGAUGAAGAACGCAGCGAAAUGCGAUAAGUAAUGUGAAUUGCAGAAUUCAGUGAAUCAUCGAAUCUUUGAACGCACCUUGCGCUCCUUGGUAUUCCGAGGAGCAUGCCUGUUUGAGUGUCAUGAAAUUCUCAACUCAUAAACCUUUGCGGGUUUGUGGGCUUGGACUUGGAGGCUUGCUGGUUUUUACUUCAGCUCCUCUUGAAUGCAUUAGCUUGAUUCCCUGCGGAUCGGCUCUCAGUGUGAUAAUUAUCUACGCUGUGGUCGUGAUGUGUUUGGCAAGCUUCUAAUCGUCCUUCACAGGACAACUUUAUGACAUCUGACCUCAAAUCAGGUAGGACUACCCGCUGAACUUAAGCAUAUCAAUAAGCGGAGGA